AUUGCGCAUUAAAUGCAUGCUUGUCAGAUGUGCAAGAUAAAUUCGUGAUAAAUGAUGAUGAUGAUGAUGAUGAUGAUGAAAAAUAAAUGAUAAAUUCGUAAUGAUCCGUAAUAAAUGAUUCAGCUUUUAUGAACAAUUAAUUCCUGGGAAAAGAUUUUUGAAAAUAAGGGGUCGAGACGUUUGAAUACAAGGGAAUCGCCUCACGUGCGCGCGUAACCAGUAUUUGAAUUUCGCGGGCAAUUACUGAUUAAUCAUAUUUAUCUUCCAAACUUGGGCGCUUGCGAGAAUAAAUUAUCUAUGCAUAUUUGAUGAAAGUAGUACUUUAACGCUAAGAUUGUGUGUAUUGGCAUGCUUUGUCUUUUUUUUCCUUUAACUGUAUUGGAAUGCCAUAACCUUGCAAAGAAAUCAAAACAUGAUGACAACCACUUGUGUGAUACAUGUGGAGACUCGUAGCGGACUUCUCAAGAACUAAGAAAUGGAGACCGGAAAGCUGCGUCUGGUUGGCAAUCGCAUAGACGUAUAUAUACGUCUAUGGGCAAUCGGUUCAUCACGCAAAGAGCAGCGACUGUAGACUAGGAAGAAACUUUCAAGUUUUUCUUUACAUUUGGCAGUUAUUAUUCUAUUCUAGCGCACAACUAUGAUGGAUUUCAAGAUACAUCUAUGCUAGUGAAGCUGUUCUUCUUGGCACAUCAAUCACAUGCUUCUCCGAAAUGCAUUUGAAUCGCUUGCCGAGUUCUGACGAUCUCUUGACGAUGAUCUUUGCUCUGACAAAAUGGUGAGUAUCGUGAAGCCGCGAGCCGUCGGACAGCAGAUUGCGUCGAUGAAGAUACAAAACCUUUCUGUUAGAUCACUGAUCGGAUCAAUCGCCAACGAUUACGCAAUGGUGAUGUAUAGAAUCGCGAAACGUGAGAGCCGUGAGUGACCGUGGAAGAGACCUUUGUCUUCAUUAGACUAUCGAUCGGCAAAUGCAUUAUUAUCGGUGCAUGGAUUCCGAAACGAGUCAACUGAAUCACAAACAAGCGAUACUGGAUGAUAAUGUUUGUGCUGAUUUCUCGCGAUUUUACGCGUUUAACGUUUAUAAUUUGUCAGGUGAGGUAAGGUGAUGGCAACGAUACCGUUUUGUAGCGAUUUACUCAUGUCAUCUGAAUUAAAAUAAAAAAAUUCCAUCUUUGACAAAUUUUCGGAUCUUGAGAAUUUUGUGCGAGGACGAGGAAUUAUUGGCCACAUGUCGCGUGUUUUCUAUUUAUUUAUUGUUGUACAAUCCAAUGAAAAGUGUUUCAUGUCGGUGUGAAUUUGCGUUAACCCCAAAUCAAUAUUUGUGAUGCGCAUACUUCGAUUGUACGCAUGGGGAACAAUAUCGGGAAUAAAUUUUCCGGUAUUUCUAUCCGCUUGCGGUUCAUUGAUAGACAUAUUAAUGUGUACAUGUGUAACGAAACAAAUGAAAUCGGCUUGUUACUUGUAACUGCGAUACUAUAAUCGUACGUAUCCAAUAAACGCCGGAGGCUGCUGAAAGCUCAAGCUAAUUCGAAAACGGCAACUGCGUCGUAGAUAUUAUUCAUCGGAUAUAUUUCCACGAGAUAGUAAGUAGCGAAAAGGGAAUCCCGAGCGAGGCGGUGCAUCGCGAUAACCGCAUUAAUUAUGCAAACAUUUUUCUGGAUAGAUGCAUUAUCUGUUAGAAAGUUGUAAUUUACUCAACAAUAUCAAGUUUUCGAAUAUAGUAUGUAAAGU
rnacentral:lncRNA from 1 species